GCAGGUCCUCUGUCAGUGGAGGAACACCUCUUGAAGACUUCACACCACUGACACGUCGAAACAAAGAAUGGAGUCCGUCCUCAUGAUCAUCACGGCUCUGGCAGCAGCCAGCGCGGCACAAGGACCUAAUAAAUGCAAGUUCCCUGAGUCUACUGCUGCUGCAGCUCAGCAGUGCUCCGGGGCUGAGGGGAGGCUGCUGAUUUUUCAACUCACAGAUAAAGCAGAUUCAACCAUGAGGUUAAAGAAAGACGAUAAAUCUGUUAUUACAAGGAUUAAAAAACUGAAGAUAG